UACGGAGGGUGCAAGCGUUAUCCGGAUUCACUGGGUUUAAAGGGUGCGUAGGUGGGCAGGUAAGUCCGUGGUGAAAUCUCCAAGCUUAACUUGGAAACUGCCGUGGAUACUAUCUGUCUUGAAUACCGUGGAGGUGAGCGGAAUAUGUCAUGUAGCGGUGAAAUGCUUAGAUAUGACAUAGAACACCAAUUGCGAAGGCAACUCACUACACGCUUAUUGACACUGAGGCACGAAAAGCGUGGGGGAUCAA
rnacentral:rRNA from 1 species